rnacentral:rRNA from 1 species
UACGUAGGGCGCAAGCGUUGUCCGGAAUUAUUGGGCGUAAAGAGCUCGUAGGCGGUCUGUUACGUCCGCUGUGAAAACCCAGGGCUUAACCCUGGGCUGGCAGUGGAUACGGGCAGGCUAGAGGGAGGUAGGGGAGAAUGGAAUUCCCGGUGUAGCGGUGAAAUGCGCAGAUAUCGGGAGGAACACCGGUGGCGAAGGCGGUUCUCUGGGCCGUACCUGACGCUGAGGAGCGAAAGCGUGGGGAGCGAACAGG